rnacentral:rRNA from 1 species
UACGAAGGGGGCUAGCGUUGUUCGGAAUUACUGGGCGUAAAGCGCACGUAGGCGGAAUGUUAAGUCAGGGGUGAAAUCCCGGGGCUCAACCCCGGAACUGCCUUUGAUACUGGCAUUCUCGAGUCCGGAAGAGGUGAGUGGAAUUCCGAGUGUAGAGGUGAAAUUCGUAGAUAUUCGGAGGAACACCAGUGGCGAAGGCGGGUUGCUGGGCUGAUACUGACGCUGAGGCGCGAAAGCCAGGGGAGCGAACGGG